GGGGGGGGCAAGCGUUGUUCGGAAUUACUGGGCGUAAAGGGCUCGUAGGCGGCCAACUAAGUCAGACGUGAAAUCCCCAGGCUUAACCUGGGAACUGCGUCUGAUACUGGAUGGCUUGAAAUCGGGAGAGGGAUGCAGAAUUCCAGGUGUAGCGGUGAAAUGCGUAGAUAUCUGGAGGGAUACCGGUGGCGAAGGCGGCAUCCUGGACCGACAUUGACGCUGAGGAGCGAAAGCUAGGGGAGCAAACGGGAUUAGAUACCCCGGUAGUCCUAGCCCUAAACGAUGAAUGCUUGGUGUGGCGGGUAUCGAUCCCUGCCGUGCCGAAGCUAACGCAUUAAGCAUUCCGCCUGGGGAGUACGGUCGCAAGGGUG
rnacentral:rRNA from 1 species